CCUACGGGUGGCAGCAGUGGGGAAUAUUGGGCAAUGGGGGCAACCCUGAUCCAGCAACGCCGCGUGAAUGAAGAAGGCUUUCGGGGUGUAAACUUCUUUCCUCAGGGACGAAGAAAGUGAUGGUACCUGAGGAAUAAGCCACGGCAAACUACGUGCCAGCGGCCGCGGUAAUCCGUAGGUGGCAAGGGUUAUCCGGUUCUAUUGGGUGUAAGGGGCGUGUAGGCGGGAUCGAAAGUCAGUUGUCAACACCCAGGGCUCAACCCGGGACCUGCCUUUGAAACUGUGUUUCUUGGGUGCUGGAGAGGAAGUGGGAGUUCCGGGUGUGGCGGUGAAAUGCGUGGAUAUACGGGGGAAAACCAGUGGCGAAGGGGGAUUGCGGGACAGUAACUGACGCUGGGGCGCGAAAGCGUGGGGAGAAAACGGGAUUAGAUACCCGUGUGUC
rnacentral:rRNA from 1 species